CAGAUUUGGUGACUGUGCUCCUCUAAGCCAGUUACCUCGGUUCAUAAACUUGCCGGUUUGAUGAACCUUGAAAAACCGCCUCCCCAGGCGGUUUUUCU
rnacentral:antisense_RNA from 1 species